rnacentral:rRNA from 1 species
AACGAACGCUGGCGGCAGGCCUAACACAUGCAAGUCGAACGCACCGCAAGGUGAGUGGCGCACGGGUGAGUAGCACGUGGGAAUGUAUCCUUUGGUUCGGAAUAACGUCUGGAAACGGACGCUAAUACCGGAUGAGCCCUUAGGGGGAAAGAUUUAUCGCCGAAGGAGCAGCCCGCGUCUGAUUAGGUAGUUGGUGGGGUAAAGGCCUACCAAGCCGACGAUCAGUAGCUGGUCUGAGAGGAUGAUCAGCCACACUGGGACUGAGACACGGCCCAGACUCCUACGGGAGGAAGCAGUGGGGAAUAUUGGACAAUGGGCGCAAGCCUGAUCCAGCCAUGCCGCGUGAGUGAUGAAGGCCUUCGGGUUGUAAAGCUCUUUCGCACACGACGAUGAUGACGGUAGUGUGAGAAGAAGCCCCGGCUAACUUCGUGCCAGCAGCCGCCGUAAUAC